CUCUGCUGUGCGGCGCACUGACUCUUGUUCAGUGGGCCCAGGGUUCGAGUCCCUGGAGGUGCACCA
rnacentral:tRNA from 2 species